ensembl:lncRNA
GCCUGGCUCCCCAGUGGGUGGGCCUGGCUCCCCAGUGGGUGGGUCUGGCUCCCCAGUGGGUGGGUCUGGCUCCCCAGUGGGUGGGCCUGGCUGCCCAGUGGGUGGGCCUGGCUGCCCAGUGGGUGGGCCUGGCUCCCCAGUGGGUGGGCCUGGCUCCCCAGUGGGUGGGCCUGGCUCCCCAGUGGGUGGGCCUAUGUCCUCCAAGACCCACCCAUGUAUUUCAGUUAACUGAUUUCAUUUUAUGAACUGUAACUCAGUAAAAACUUUGAAAUUGUUGCAUAUUUUUUCAUUAUAUAUAAACAUAUAUUGUUAUGUUACACUUAACCCUCCUGCUGUGUUCCGGUCGAAUUGGACCAAUUUACAAGUUUUCUCUCUGAAAAAUGUAGAUAAUUUAAUCUGAUUGUCAUCUGAACACACAAUACAUUUGGAUGAUUUUCAUUAAACUUUGGGUGUUUUAUUUAACUUUUGUACACCUGUGGUGUUCCCAGUCAAAAAUGACCAGUCAUUAAUAGGUGAGACUACAAUAAGUGUAUAAAAUUAAGUUCAGGCACAUUCACCAGAUGGACACACUUCCUCUCCCAGACCCCCACAUGCAUGUGUGUUUGAACACACACACACACACACACACACACACACACACACACACACACACACACACACACACACACACACACACACACACACACACACACACACACACACACACACACACCUCACUCCCCUUCUUGGCUUCCAUGGCAACCCCCACAGCAACCUUUCGCCAAUAGAAUAUUUCCCCCACAGGGACCACACCUGUUGACGUUCUCACAAACAAGCGCAAAAUUGUUUCAAUAAUACAUAGAACUUUUCUGGCAGCUCUGGUAUAUAAAGCUUUUUUGAGGCCUUGCUCACAAUUCAUUCUGUAGCAGCACAAUGACCAAACGAUAAACUAUAUGAGAGGCUCUUGAUCAUAUCUUUGAUCAUGACACUGGUGAGGAGGGAGAGAGGCCAGAAAACUGACAGUGAAGAUGCAUUAGAGGAGGAAGUGUCAGAAGUUGAAGACAACACAGAAUAUGAUCCAGACCCCGAGACAUCCGAUGUGGAACAUUCCAGUGAUGAGGAAGAGGGCCCUGCUGAGGUUGUUGUUACAUUCCAGUGAUGAGGAAGAGGGCCCUGCUGAGGUUGUUGUUAGAAUCCAGUGAUGAGGAAGAGGACCCUGCUGAGGUUGAUGUUAUAAUCCAGUGAUGAGGAAGAGGGCCCUGCUGAGGUUGUUGUUAGAAUCCAGUGAUGAGGAAGAGGGCCCUGCUGAGGUUGUUGUUAGAAUCCAGUGAUGAGGAAGAGGACCCUGCUGAGGUUGUUGUUAGAAUCCAGUGAUGAGGAAGAGGGCCCUGCUGAGGUCGUUGUUACAUUCCGGUCAAAGAAUGGGAAUUUGUCCUGGUCUUCAUCCCCACCUGAGAAGAGAGGUCGGCUGACUCGGCUGAAUGUUAUCAGGAUAACCCCAGGGCCAACGAGAUAUGUCAUAUCCCUGACAUAAAAUCCUGCCACUAUUUAAACAUUUGAAAUAGUUUCAAAACAAAUGUCCUUUUUAAACUUUUUUUAGUCUGUGAUAAAUAGCACAAUAUGUUUUAUCUGAGUAUUUGUUAUAGUCAAAAAUAAUCCAUACAUUAUGCUUUUUUUAAAACUAAAAAACGAGUUGUUUGAGCUCAGGUCAAUGAGGCCUACAGGCCAUAAAUAGUUGUAUGAGCUCAGGUCAAUGAGGCCUACAGGACAUAAAUACAUAGAAGUUCAAAACAUGUAAUGUUCACAAGAACUUAAGUUAAUAAAUAGAUCUAAACAACAUUAAGUGAUAAUAUAUGUAUUAUUAUGGAUUUAUAAUCAGCUGUAACGGGGCAGUCAUUUUGGACCAAUUAACAUGAAACGAACACAACAGGAGGGUUAAGUGGCUUGCUUGGCAUUGAGCAGUAAACAAAAAAAAGUAUAACAUUCAUGAUGGUGAAGUUUACGGAGAAAACAAUGUUAGUAAUGGGUAUGAUGGAUGCUGCAGCGGGACUAAGCAGGUUCGCUGGUUGAGUAACCUGCUGGGCCGGUCAGGGAGACCAGGGGGAGACUGCGUUUCCUGCUGUCACGUGAAAGACUGACAAGCGUUGUUGAGUGGUUCUGACCCCAUGACAUGCCCAUACAUGAAAAUCUACUCAAUAUUUACCACUGCAUCAUGUUGCGUUUCUGGAAACACUUUCAACUGAAAAUGGGAUAACUGAAUCAACUAUUUUAUUUUAUUUAGAUUACGCCAAAUGCAUUCGAAUGUAAAACGUUUAGUUCUAUAGACUUGUAGCCGCAAUGAUCUGAAUGAAAAUUGCAAUGAAAAUGUACAUUUCAUGGCCCAAAACUAUUAUAUUUUAAUCUAACGUCAGUGUAAUAAACAACAAAUAGGGCUGGAAAUUAGUGAAAGGGCCUUGUCGUAUACACCACGUUAAUUGAGACAUAUUUUACAUAACCUGGAGAUAUGUUGAGGUGCGCUCGACGCAUCAGCUGUGUCGCAUAGAAAAUACUGAAGUAAAUACAAGGAAAAUGUCAUUAACAUCUCUAAGAAAAAUGAACAGCUGACCACAUGAUAUUCUCCGUAAUGUGGGCCUAUGAGCUUUGGGAAAUUUCGUGACCACCACCGAACUAAAUUUUACAACAUAAACUCAACUUUUUGAUGACACCUUCCCAGUGGGUGUUUUGCCUAGAUGAGGUUUGCACCCGUAGCGCGAAA